GACGAACGCUGGCGACGUGCUUAACACAUGCAAGUCGAGCGGUAAGGCCCUUUCGGGGGUACACGAGCGGCGAACGGGUGAGUAACACGUGGGUGACCUGCCCUCAGCUCUGGGAUAAGCCUGGGAAACCGGGUCUAAUACUGGAUAUGACUCCAUGACGCAUGUUGUGGGGUGGAAAGCCUUGUGCGGCUGAGGAUGGGGCCCGCGGCCUAUCAGCUUGUUGGUGGGGUGANGGCCUACCAAGGCGACGACGGGUAGCCGGCCUGAGAGGGCGACCGGCCACACUGGGACUGAGACACGGCCCAGACUCCUACGGGAGGCAGCAGUGGGGAAUCUUGCGCAAUGGGCGAAGGCCUGACGCAGCGACGCCGCGUGAGGGAUGACGGCCU
rnacentral:rRNA from 1 species